GACGAACGCUGGCGGCGUGCCUAACACAUGCAAGUCGAGCGAGUGAAUCUCCUUCGGGAGUGAAGCUAGCGGCGGACGGGUGAGUAACACGUGGGCAACCUGCCUCAUAGAGGGGAAUAGCCUUCCGAAAGGAAGAUUAAUACCGCAUAAGAUUGUAGCUUCGCAUGAAGUAGCAAUUAAAGGAGCAAUCCGCUAUGAGAUGGGCCCGCGGCGCAUUAGCUAGUUGGUGAGGUAACGGCUCACCAAGGCAACGAUGCGUAGCCGACCUGAGAGGGUGAUGAGCAACAUGGGGACUGAGACACGGCCCAGACUCCUACGGGAGGCAGCAGUGGGGAAUAUUGCACAAUGGGGGAAACCCUGAUGCAGCAACGCCGCGUGAGUGAUGACGGCCUUCGGGUUGUAAAGCUCUGUCUUCAGGGACGAUAAUGACGGUACCUGAGGAGGAAGCCACGGCUAACUACGUGCCAGCAGCCGCCGUAA
rnacentral:rRNA from 1 species